rnacentral:rRNA from 1 species
CAGUCGAACGAGGAUCAUCAGUGUAGCAAUGCAUUGGUGGUCCUAGUGGCGCACGGGUGAGUAACACGUGGGUAACCUGCCCUUGAGCUCGGGAUACCCCCUCGAAAGGGGGGCUAAUACCGGAUACGUUCCUCGGAUCGACAGGUCUGGGGAGGAAAGGUGGCGCAAGCUGCCGCUCUUGGAGGGGCUCGCGGCCUAUCAGCUAUUGGCGGGGUAACGGCCCACCAAGGCUAUGACGGGUUAGCUGGUCUGAGAGGACGACCAGCCACACGGGGACUGAGACACGGCCCCGACUCCUACGGGAGGCAGCAGUGGGGAAUUUUCCGCAAUGGGCGAAAGCCUGACGGAGUGACGCCGCGUGUUGGACGAAGGCCUUCGGGUCGUAAACCACUGU